rnacentral:rRNA from 1 species
GAUCCUGGCUCAGGAUGAACGCUAGCGACAGGCUUAACACAUGCAAGUCGAGGGGCAUCAUGAGGUAGCAAUACCUUGAUGGCGACCGGCGCACGGGUGAGUAACGCGUAUGCAGCCUGCCCGAUACCGGGGUAUAGCCCAUGGAAACGUGGAUUAACACCCCAUAGUACUUUUAUCCUGCCUGGGAUGUGAGUUAAAUGUUCAAGGUAUCGGAUGGGCAUGCGUCCUAUUAGUUAGG